AAUCAACGCUGGCGGCGUGCCUAACACAUGCAAGUCGAACGCGAAAGCCCCUUCGGGGGUAAGUAGAGUGGCGUCCGGGUGAGUAACACGUAGGUAAUCUACCUUCGGGUGGGGAAUAACUCGCCGAAAGGCGAGCUAAUACCGCAUAAUGCAGCGGCACCUAAUGGUGAUUAGUUGUUAAAGCGGGGGAUCGUAAGACCUCGCGCCUGAAGAGGAGCCUGCGGCAGAUUAGCUAGUGGUGAGGUAAUGGCUCACCAAGGCUUCGAUCUGUAGCUGGUCUGAGAGGACGGCCAGCCACACUGGCACUGACACACGGGCCAGACUCCUACGGGAAGGCAGCAGUGGGGAAUUUUGGGCAAUGGGCGCAAGCCUGACCCAGCAACGCCGCGUG
rnacentral:rRNA from 1 species